rnacentral:rRNA from 1 species
GUCUACGGCCAUGCUACCCUGAACAAGCCCGAUCCCGUCUGAUCUCUAAGCAGGGUCGGGCCUGGUUAGUACUUGUAUAGGAGACCACCUAGAAAGACCAGGUGCUGUAGGCA